rnacentral:rRNA from 1 species
AUUGAACGCUGGUGGCAUGCUUAACACAUGCAAGUCGAACGGUAACAGGUCUUCGGAUGCUGACGAGUGGCGGACGGGUGAGUAACGCGUAGGAAUCUGCCCAUUUGAGGGGGAUACCAGUUGGAAACGACUGUUAAUACCGCAUAAUAUCUGUGGAUUAAAGGUGGCUUAGGCUGCCGCAGAUGGAUGAGCCUGCGUUGGAUUAGCUAGUUGGUGGGGUAAGGGCCGUACCAAGGCUACGAUCCAUAGCUGAUUUGAGAGGAUGAUCAGCCACAUUGGGACUGAGACACGGCCCAAACUCCUACGGGAGGCAGCAGUGGGGAACAUUGGACAAUGGGGGAAACCCUGAUCCAGCAAUGCCGCGUGAGUGAUGAAGGCCUUCGGUUGUAAAGCUCUUUUGUCAGGGACGAUGAUGACGGUACCUGACGAAUAAGCUCUGGCUAACUUCGUG